rnacentral:rRNA from 1 species
UACGAAGGGGGCUAGCGUUGUUCGGAUUUACUGGGCGUAAAGCGCACGUAGGCGGGUCGUUAAGUCGGGGGUGAAAUCCUGGAGCUCAACUCCAGAACUGCCUUCGAUACUGGCGACCUAGAGUCCGGAAGAGGUGAGUGGAACUCCUAGUGUAGAGGUGGAAUUCGUAGAUAUUAGGAAGAACACCAGUGGCGAAGGCGGCUCACUGGUCCGGUACUGACGCUGAGGCACGAAAGCGUGGGGAGCAAACAGG